AUUCAAAUGAUGCAAAUCACUUGUGCACAUCACUAACAAAUGAAGAAACCCAUAUCAGAGUGAAUAACCAGUGGAGGUCUCAGCAUCCUCGCAAGAUGAUGAGAAAUUCGCAAGGUAAUAAACCAGCUGAGAAAAACAACAUUGGUGAUGCUGUUGUAUGGGCUCCUGUGCGAUCACAACAUAAAACUGAGGUUUCUGGAAGCCAAUCAGAAUGGUUUAGUCGAUUCUGUGGUUCUGUCUGCAAAGAAUGAUCAGCAGGUGCAGAAUAAUCCAAGAAACAAGAGGGCGGAAAUGGAGAGAUACAUUCCAAAGCCUGUAGCCAAAGAACUAUCUCAGCAAGGUAGUACUCAUCAAGCUGUUGUUCCCUCAAGCAAUCAGAUUACAUCAGAUGAGACUGCUGAAAGGCCUGAGUCUGGCUCUUUAGUUGUUGAAAGUUCCCAAAUCUCUGGAACAGCUACUGUGAUGGCAAGUCAUGCCAUUGAAGCCAGGACUGUGGAUGUUAGGCAGAACAAGUCAGGAAAAGUGCAUGGAGCAUGGCGUCAACGGGGUGCAGCUGAAUCAACUACUUCAAAUCUGAGUAGGAGUUUUCAAAAAUCAAUCGAGAGUCAUCAACACCAGAAACCUGAUGUAAGUUCCAUGAAAGAGCAACCGAGGAAUUCUGAUGGAUGGAACAUGCACGAGAAUCCUGAUACAUCAAUUGCUGUUCCUGUUUUAAAAGAUCAAGGUGUGACUGCCAGAGGAAAGCGGCAACCACACAAGGGUCACAAGG
rnacentral:misc_RNA from 1 species